rnacentral:piRNA from 1 species
UGGGAAACAUCCAGUAAAGUGUCCUGUGUGA